GUUGGUGCUUAUGACGAUGAGGUUCCACCCGUUCCCAUACCGAACACGGAAGUUAAGCUCAUCAGUGCUGAAAAUACUUGGCGGGAAGCUGCCUGGGAAGAUAGGACAGUGCCAACA
rnacentral:rRNA from 1 species